AGUCUAUAGGGAGCCCAGAUGAUGUAGCCCCGGAGAGAUCAAGUGACCGAGAAGCAUCAUGUGACUACCAGGACUAUAAAAGGAGGUCUCAAGUGAGAGAGUUGCAGGAGGUGCUGAAUCCAAGAGAAGAGCUCUUGUCCGGAGAGCAGUGAUGGAAGGCUGUGGGGGAAAAAACCCAGUGAGGAGACCGGACUUGCAGGGAGCCUGUGAGAGGGGUGAGUCAAGGAGGAACAGACCUGAAGCAAGACAGCACUGGUGUGGGCUGGAGGCUCAGUGUGAUCGAAAGGGGAAGGAUUCUGUGUUUUGGCCAGAUGGCAAAUCACUCAUCCACUAGGAGGAGACUGCAGGCUAUUCUACCUGAGGGAAACUGAGGCAGCAACUAGUAAGCACCUCAACCUGAAAUUUCUGAGCUGCCAGCAGUGUUCACAGAAUCACAAGCAGCCUUAAACAAUACCCCAAAAAUCAGGGGAUUGUAAUAAUUUGCAAGAGAUUUUUAAAACUGCACCACAUUUUAGAGCAUGCUUCACAAACCAUUAACAUAACAGAUGUGGGUAGUGGGAAAAUUGAAUGAAUUGUUUUAUCUGUCACCU